GCUAAGGGUAAGGGCUUCAUCAUGUGAGGGAGGGCUGCUGUCCUAUUGGGUGAAGGAGGGAUCAAAAAGGAAAACAGCGCGCGUUUGAACAGACUUCUUUCCCUGCAGCUUUUCUGGGAUAAAGUCACCAUGACAACGAGCGUGUGGGUACUCCAGUCUUGAGAGGGUCCUCAGAGGAGAUGUGGAGCCAAACAAACCAGGGCAAACGGGGGUGAGGAGCGUAUCAUGGGCCCCUAGGACGCGCUGUGUGAAACUCAGGUCAGCAUAAGAUCUGGAGAACACCUGUAAAAGCCAAGGAUUUCAAAAUGUCAUCAGCCACCAGGCUGCACCUCAACCCUCUAAGAAAGGCCACGCCCUUAACCUUUUCAGCCAAUAAGCCCAUCCACUGCCAGGCAACAAAGCGUUCACCCCUCUAACCAGCUGCAAUAAGCCCGAUACCAAUAUCCAAAAAUGGAUUUUCAGACUCACAAGUCUUGCAGCAACCGUCCACAUAGCUUUGAACAACACCUCCACUCUGCAAGAAGAGCAUAAAAA